AUAUAUAUGGUAAAAACUUAAUAACUUUAAAAAUCUUGACAGUUCCUGUGAUGAAAUUUCUUGAUAAUGUCCAGUGCAUCAACAGAGAUUUUAGUCUCAGCAGGGCGCUAUAAAACACAAUGUAUUUUUUAGCACCCUGGACUCAGUUAAGAGCAUAGCAACACAAAAACGUGCAUGCACUCAACAGCCAGGGGUUGUUGUAUAGUAUUUUAACUGGUAUAGAACUGUCCAAAUGAUCUCCUGUAUUUUAUUGGGCUUUCAACAGUUAUUCUCUUUUGAUACAAACACUGAUGCAGUCCUUAGCAAGAUUAAAAUCCGAACAGGAAUACAUAUUUUGUUUUCCUUUCCACAGAGUACUUUGUACUAUUUUAGCCUAGUUCACUACUUUCACUCUGCUUGAGUUUGUCUAUAUAAGCAAAUAUCAACUGUAACGUUUCUAAUGAGGGAAUGAACAAAAUUUUUCCAG